UCGGAGGUGACUCUGCAAACCAAAUCAUUUUGAGCACAGAAAGAAUGACACCCCAAAAACGUGUUCCCAACACCAGUAUGUUGCCUGCGCCAAAUUAUAAUGUG